rnacentral:rRNA from 1 species
GACGAACGCUGGCGGCGUGCUUAACACAUGCAAGUCGAACGGAAAGGCCCUGCUUUUGUGGGGUGCUCGAGUGGCGAACGGGUGAGUAACACGUGAGUAACCUGCCCUUGACUUUGGGAUAACUUCAGGAAACUGGGGCUAAUACCGGAUAGGAGCUCCUGCUGCAUGGUGGGGGUUGGAAAGUUUUGGCGGUUGGGGAUGGACUCGCGGCUUAUCAGCUUGUUGGUGGGGUAGUGGCUUACCAAGGCUUUGACGGGUAGCCGGCCUGAGAGGGUGACCGGCCACAUUGGGACUGAGAUACGGCCCAGACUCCUACGGGAGGCAGCAGUGGGGAAUAUUGCACAAUGGGCGGAAGCCUGAUGCAGCAACGCCGCGUGCGGGAUGACGGCCUUCGGGUUGUAAACCGCUUUCGCCUGUGACGAAGCGUGAGUGACGGUAAUGGGUAAAGAAGCACCGGCUAACUACGUGCCAGCAGCCGCGGUGAUACGUAGGGUGCGAGCGUUGUCCGGAUUUAUUGGGCGUAAAGGGCUCGUAGGUGGUUGAUCGCGUCGGAAGUGUAAUCUUGGGGCUUAACCCUGAGCGUGCUUUCGAUACGGGUUGACUUGAGGAAGGUAGGGGAGAAUGGAAUUCCUGGUGGAGCGGUGGAAUGCGCAGAUAUCAGGAGGAACACCAGUGGCGAAGGCGGUUCUCUGGGCCUUUCCUGACGCUGAGAAGCGAAAGCGUGGGGAGCGAACAGGCUUAGAUACCCUGGUAGUCCACGCUGUAAACGGUGGGUACUAGGUGUGGGGUCCAUUCCACGGGUUCCGUGCCGUAGCUAACGCUUUAAGUACCCCGCCUGGGGAGUACGGCCGCAAGGCUAAAACUCAAAGGAAUUGACGGGGCCCCGCACAAGCGGCGGAGCAUGCGGAUUAAUUCGAUGCAACGCGUAGAACCUUACCUGGGUUUGACAUGGAUCGGGAGCGCUCAGAGAUGGGUGUGCCUCUUUUGGGGUCGGUUCACAGGUGGUGCAUGGCUGUCGUCAGCUCGUGUCGUGAGAUGUUGGGUUAAGUCCCGCAACGAGCGCAACCCUUGUUCACUGUUGCCAGCACGUUAUGGUGGGGACUCAGUGGAGACCGCCGGGGCCAACUCGGAGGAAGGUGGGGAUGACGUCAAGUCAUCAUGCCCCUUAUGUCCAGGGCUUCACGCAUGCUACAAUGGCUGGUACAGAGAGUGGCGAGCCUGUGAGGGUGAGCGAAUCUCGGAAAGCCGGUCUCAGUUCGGAUUGGGGUCUGCAACUCGACCUCAUGAAGUCGGAGUCGCUAGUAAUCGCAGAUCAGCAACGCUGCGGUGAAUACGUUCCCGGG